CACACCCGUUCCCAUUCCGAACACGGAAGUUAAGCUCUUCAGCGCCGAUGGUAGUUGGGGGAUCUCCCCCUGUGAGAGUAGGACGUCGCCAAGC
rnacentral:rRNA from 1 species